GACGUAGGGCGCGAGCGUUGUCCGGAUUUAUUGGGCGUAAAGAGCUCGUAGGCGGCUUGUCGCGUCGACUGUGAAAACCCGUGGCUCAACCAUGUAGUCUGCAGUCGAUACGGGCAGGCUAGAAUUCGGUAGGGGAGACUGGAAUUCCUGGUGUAGCGGUGAAAUGCGCAGAUAUCAGGAGGAACACCGGUGGCGAAGGCGGGUCUCUGGGCCGAUAUUGACGCUGAGGAGCGAAAGCGUGGGGAGCGAACAGG
rnacentral:rRNA from 1 species